rnacentral:rRNA from 1 species
UACGGAGGGUGCAAACGUUGCUCGGAAUCACUGGGCGUAAAGCGCACGUAGGCGGAUUGUUAAGUCAGGGGUGAAAUCCUGGAGCUCAACUCCAGAACUGCCUUUGAUACUGGCGAUCUCGAGUCCGGGAGAGGUGAGUGGAACUGCGAGUGUAGAGGUGAAAUUCGUAGAUAUUCGCAAGAACACCAGUGGCGAAGGCGGACUCACUGGCCCGGUACUGACGCUGAGGUGCGAAAGCGUGGGGAGCAAACAGGG